rnacentral:rRNA from 1 species
UCAUGGNCUCAGAUUGAACGCUGGCGGCAGGCCUAACACAUGCAAGUCGAGCGGUAGCACAGAGAGCUUGCUCUCGGGUGACGAGCGGCGGACGGGUGAGUAAUGUCUGGGAAACUGCCUGAUGGAGGGGGAUAACUACUGGAAACGGUAGCUAAUACCGCAUAAUGUCGCAAGACCAAAGUGGGGGACCUUCGGGCCUCAUGCCAUCAGAUGUGCCCAGAUGGGAUUAGCUUGUAGGUGGGGUAACGGCUCACCUAGGCGACGAUCCCUAGCUGGUCUGAGAGGAUGACCAGCCACACUGGAACUGAGACACGGUCCAGACUCCUACGGGAGGCAGCAGUGGGGAAUAUUGCACAAUGGGCGCAAGCCUGAUGCAGCCAUGCCGCGUGUGUGAAGAAGGCCUUCGGGUUGUAAAGCACUUUCAGCGGGGAGGAAGGCGGUGAGGUUAAUAACCUCAUCGAUUGACGUUACCCGCAGAAGAAGCACCGGCUAACUCCGUGCCAGCAGCCGCGGUAAUACGGAGGGUGCAAGCGUUAAUCGGAAUUACUGGGCGUAAAGCGCACGCAGGCGGUCUGUCAAGUCGGAUGUGAAAUCCCCGGGCUCAACCUGGGAACUGCAUUCGAAACUGGCAGGCUAGAGUCUUGUAGAGGGGGGUAGAAUUCCAGGUGUAGCGGUGAAAUGCGUAGAGAUCUGGAGGAAUACCGGUGGC